rnacentral:other from 1 species
GGAAACCGAAUUAACUCGAUGGGUUAUUUUUAAUCCGAACAGAUUUUAUAUGGAUGUUGGGUAUACUUAUUCGGUGUUGAAUGCCUAUUUAAAAUAGGAAUCCUAAAGAAUAAGUCGAAACUUCCACUUGCACCUAUUUGCGAGUUUUUUCUAGCCUACGACUAAUUGGGUUUCAA